UUAUACUGCAGUCGUGGGGCAGCAGGUUUGUAGCAAUACAGAUGCUGGCGACCGGCAAACGGGUGAGGAAUACGUACAGAACCUUCCUUCAAGCGGGGAAUAGCCCAGAGAAAUUUGGAUUAAUACCCCAUAGUAAAAUGGAGAGGCAUCUCUUUGUUUUUAAAGAAUUUAUUCACUUGAAGACGGCUGUAUGGCUGAUUAGGUAGUUGGCGGGGUAACGGCCCACCAAGCCUACGAUCAGUAACUGGUGUGAGAGCACGACCAGUCACACGGGCACUGAGACACGGGCCCGACUCCUACGGGAGGCAGCAGUAAGGAAUAUUGGUCAAUGGACGAAAGUCUGAACCAGCCAUGCCGCGUGAAGGAUGAAGGUCCUCUGGAUUGUAAACUUCUUUUAUAUGGGGCGAAAAAAGGCCUUUCUAGGUCGUCUGACGGUACCAUAUGAAUAAGCACCGGCUAACUCCGUGCCAGCAGCCGCGGUAAUACGGAGGGUGCAAGCGUUAUCCGGAUUCACUGGGUUUAAGGGUGCGUAGGUG
rnacentral:rRNA from 1 species